rnacentral:rRNA from 1 species
UACGAAGGGGGCUAGCGUUGCUCGGAAUCACUGGGCGUAAAGGGUGCGUAGGCGGGUCUUUAAGUCAGAGGUGAAAGCUUGGAGCUCAACUCCAGAACUGCCUUUGAUACUGAGGAUCUCGAGUUCGGGAGAGGUGAGUGGAACUGCGAGUGUAGAGGUGAAAUUCGUAGAUAUUCGCAAGAACACCAGUGGCGAAGGCGGCUCACUGGCCCGAUACUAACGCUGAGGCACGAAAGCGUGGGGAGCAAACAGGG